CAUAAAUUGCAGUAAUUCAGGUCUGGACGAAUAAUGGCCUUGGCAUAGAGAGAAACACCAUUUCUUACCUCCAAAGGUGAUUUCUAAAGGGGUGUCAUCAGCGAUGUUGCUCCAGCUGUAGAAUUACCAUGCUUUUUGGCUGCUUGAAAAAGAGGGCCCACCACUCCAAAGCUCUCAGUACCCCC